rnacentral:lncRNA from 1 species
UCCUUCUUGGAUCAACAUUAUAAUUCACACAAGUACCCCUCGGUUUUGGAGAUGCACACCCUCUUCUUCUCGUUAGACAACCUCCACUUGAACUAGUAUAACCAUUCACACUAUAUUGACCUUGAUAAGAAGAACUACAAGGUGAAGAGUAUGAAUCUUCACACUCCUCACAUGCACUCUCAUCAUAGCUCUCAUAAGCUUUGCGAAUGAAAGGGUUACACCUAACACCAAAUCUAGGUUCGGAGUGAGAAAUGUAAGACUCCUUACAUGCCCCAACGUCAUCAUAAGAACAGUCACGAGGUCCUACAUCAUCUCCAAACUCACCAUAAGCACUAGGCACUUCAUUCAC